GGGGCCGUAAUGGUUUCGACAGGGGUCUUGCAGCUGGAGAAGCUAUCCGAAGGCGAUGGCGUCAAAUCGCAAAAUUAAACUAAACGCUGAAGAUAAUUUAGCAAUCGCUGCCUAAUGGCAGCUGCCGGCCUUAGUGCACUCACACACUGAGAAUCCGGUAUCAUCCAUGUGAGAAACGACUUAUGUUAAGCUUUGCACAUAAGGGCGUAUCAUGAAGCUACCAAAGUCCGGAGGAUGUCAGUUUCCGCCGGAUGGAGGGAAUGUCAAAGAACUGACUAUGAUAGUAGAAGGACAGGGAAUAGGCUUUUGGACAGGGGUUCGACUCCCCUCGGCUCCAC
rnacentral:tmRNA from 1 species